ACAUAGUGCAAUGCAUCGUCAUCAUCCUACUAGAGGUCCUGAAUCCAAAAAUAGCAGAAACAGAAUUGUCCAAAUAAAGAACAACCAUUUAGAUCUAUUUAUGGCAUAUACAUGUAGGCCUAUUAAUAUUAACACCUACACAAUAAAAAAAACAGGUAUUUUCUGAUCAGGUAUUUUGCCAGUGUGAAAGCGCUGUAAUAGUGAUAUGACCAAAAACAAAUGUCCAGAUGCAAAAUGAUGACUUUAAUAUUAUUAGACUUUCUCAGGGAUUUUUCCAAGAACAUACUAUCAGCUGUAUUGCAAGGAAUUUUUUUUUAAUGAAAGAAGUCAUAUUCAUCUUCGGUUCUUGUGUAAUUAGUAAUUGAUAGAUUCUAAAAUGACACAAAGAACUGAGGAAACGAAUGCUUGAAACUGAAUAUUUAUCAUACAGCUCUGUACUACUUUUGUGAAUUUUCUUUGAUUCUGUUUCUGCUUCUGAAGCGAAUGGAUUUGUAAUUGAACUCUUUAGUAAUAAUCUAAAAUGUAAUCAAACUUUCAUGCUCAUGGAUAAAUGCAGUCCUUGCUCUCAGCAUUUUCCACAUGAAAGCUUGAAGUGGAAAAGGUCAACAAUCCAAUAAUUCACACUGGAUAUUGACUAAUAUUUUGAAGUGAUGAUGAGGAAACGAUUGCAUGUACAUUGACAGAUCAGAGGCAACAAGCUGGGAGACAUACUCCAUAAGUAGGCCAGGGUUUUUAUCAGGAUAUAGCAUUAAAUGAGAUAAAAUACCUGGCCUCCGUACAAAUAUAUUUUGGAUUUGAGCUGUGAUGUUGGUGCUUACCUGUUUAGAAGAUAUGCAGUAUGCAUUUAGAGCUCUGGAGAAUGUGGGUCAGUUCUUCUGUCCAUCCCCUGUGACCAGUCUGACCACCAUGUCUCAGACCAGCAAUACAAUUCUGUGUGGAGAUCAACUUGGAAACGUCUACCUGCUUGAAUGGAAACAAUAAGAUCAGACAAUUUGAACACUAAUUUUGUCCGUCUUGUGGGGUGUGAGAGUUCAACGUUUAGCCGAUUUCUGCUAUUUAUUGUUUUGAUUUUCAGCUUAACUCCAGAUUAAUUCAAACUCUCUUACAGCAUUUUUCAGCUCUUUCACUCCCCUGAUCUUGUUAACUCUCAACUUCAACUUUUUUAGCUGAUUUAAGUUAUUUGGGAUUUUGAUUUUCAGUUUAAUUUCAGCUUUUGUCUAACACUCUGUAGCAUUUCAUUUUAUUUAUUUUAUUUUAUUUAUGAUAAUUUACACCCUUGAUCUUGGUGACUCGACUGUUGACUUUUUUUCAUGAAAAGGCAAAGCAUGGUAUAAAAUAUUUGUUGAUAUUAAAAUCAUAAAUUUCCGUUCAGACAUAAGACCAGACAUCAGCGUUGUUCAAGUGUUUGAUCUGCCUGAUAUCUAAAUUUCAUUUGAAUUUAUAGAUAAGACUAAUCAAAAAGAGUAGUGUUUGAUAAUUUUAGUUCUAUUUGUUCUGAUUUGUUUUGUGUUUUUAUCACCAUUUACUACCAUGAGCUCCAAAUUGGAGGAUUUUAGAUUAUGCUGCCAAUUAUCAAAAUUCAUUUUGACAUAAGCCAAGAGUAUUACAUUUGCAUGAUGCCCCUCUUUGUGACAUUAGUUGUAACAUGUACUUAUUGCAAGACAGUGAUGUUAUGUACUUUUUAAUAUUUUCUUUGGUUUGCUACUUAUAAUGAAAAUGAGAUUUAGAAUGUAGUAUUUGUAGAUCAUAUUGUGGAAACUAAUUUCUCCAUGGUGAAUAUUAAUAUGCAACGAUAGCAUUUUUAUUUUGCACAUUGUAUAGUGCAUCAAAUAUUUUUAUUAUUAACAACAAAAAAUUGACCAUUGUAGCUACUGUAUGCUAAAAUUUAGAAGAUCAUAUUUUCUGAUACAUGUUAUACUAGAAUGUGUUUGAAUCAUACAAAUACAAGCAUUAAUUAAUUUCAUUGUUAGUAUUGAAACAAAUAGCUGUUUCAUGGAUAUGAGAAAAUAGAUAAUUAAUUGAUAUGUUUUGGAAGUCUUUGUGAUAUCAUUGCUUGAUGUAAAAUUAAAGAUUGUUAUGGGUGGAGAGUGUGUUCCCUCUUUCCUGUAUAUUUAGAUAGAUUAUUCAUGUCUUUCAUUUUUUGUAUGAUCAGCCUUUAUAAAAAGAUAUUAAAAGUAUAAUAUAUAUAAUUUCUAUGUAUAACAUGCUAUUCAAUUGUUCUAUGCAGUGUAGCUGCUACAUAAAUAAAUCUAUACAUUUUUUUCUUUUAUUUAGGGCUUUAGGCAAUAUUGACUCUGUUAUAUCAUAAUGUUUUGUUGUCUUGUACUAUGCUUUUUGUAAAACUUUAUCUUUAUUAAAUUGAAAGUGGCGCCCCUCACCACCCGAUGCUUUUUGCAGAACUUUGCUGUUGAUAAUCAUCUGUUCUU